AAUCAACGCUGGCGGCGUGCCUCAGACAUGCAAGUCGAACGCGAAAGUCCCCUUCGGGGGGCAAGUAGAGUGGCGCACGGGUGAGUAACACGUAGGUAAUCUACCUUUGGAUGGGGAAUAACAAUCGGAAACGAUUGCUAAUACCGCAUAAUGCAGCGGCACCUAAUGGUGACAGUUGUUAAAGCGGGGGAUCGAAGACCUCGCGUCUAAAGAGGAGCCUGCGGCGGAUUAGCUAGUUGGUAAGGUAAUGGCUUACCAAGGCUACGAUCCGUAACCGGCCUGAGAGGGCGGUCGGUCACACUGACACUGACAUACGGGUCAGACUCCUACGGGAGGCAGCAGU
rnacentral:rRNA from 1 species